AGAACGAACGCUGGCGGCAGGCUUAACGCAUGCAAGUCGAGCGCCCCGCAAGGGGAGCGGCAGACGGGUGAGUAACGCGUGGGAAUCUACCCAUCUCUACGGAACAACUCCGGGAAACUGGAGCUAAUACCGUAUACGUCCUUCGGGAGAAAGAUUUAUCGGAGAUGGAUGAGCCCGCGUUGGAUUAGCUAGUUGGUGGGGUAAGGCCUACCAAGGCGACGAUCCAUAGCUGGUCUGAGAGGAUGAUCAGCCACACUGGGACUGAGACACGGCCCAGACUCCUACGGGAGGCAGCAGGUGGGGAAUAUUGGACAAUGGGCGAAAGCCUGAUCCAGCAUGCCGCGUGAGUGAUGAACGGCCUAGGGUUAGUAAAGUCUCUUUCGACCGGUUGAAGUAUAAUGAACGGUAACCGGAGAAGAACGCCCCGGAUAACCGUUCGUCGCCAAGCAGCCGAC
rnacentral:rRNA from 1 species